GCCUCGUGGGCUAUGCGGCUCUCCUGGAGACGGAUGACAGAUCUCCCUUGGAUGACUUUGGUGGUUCCGCACCAGCCAGAGCCCCCGUUUUUCCUGCAGCACCUUGAUCUGCACUCCCUGAGGGGCUCCCACUGUCCGCGCGGUGAGGAUGUCCCUGGAUAGUCCACUGUGUGCAGAGGCAUGGGAGUUGUCAUGUUGGGAACAUGCUAGACCUCAGUGUCCUUGAGCUUGAAGAAAGAUGGCAGAACACUGGAGACCAAGUACUUGCAGCCUCCUGCUCUGUGGCCCCUCCUCACUCCAGGGAUGCCACCUUGGGUCUGGAGACUGUUGGAGGAAACCCCAAGAGGUGCAGGCACUGAGCCUCUCAAGACAAUGAUCUGGGGUCCCAGCUUCCCUGGGGGGGUCUCCUCAUGGCCAGGCCAUCCAGUGGCCAUCCUCCGUGUCCUCCUGCCUGUUCCUGGUGUGACUUCUGAAAACCAAGAAUUUGUUCCUGUUGACUUUUUCUGCGCCAUGGACCAUUGUCCUCUCACACACUCAAUAAAUCUUGAAACAUGCCCUGCUGCUAGUUCUUUCAUUUUUGUGUAUUUGUUUUUUUUAUCAGUAUCUCCGUGUGUCAGCAAGACUGGGUAUAGAGACUGCGUCACAAGGGCAGGUUUUCUGGUUCUCAUUCAUUAAGACUUUCCCCUUGACACACACCCAAGGCUUGACCUAGGGAAUGUGAGAUGGGACAUGGGAUUUGGACUGGGGUUGAACAGU
rnacentral:lncRNA from 1 species